AGAGUUUGAUCCUGGCUCAGAACGAACGCUGGCGGCGCGUCUUAAGCAUGCAAGUCGAACGGCAAGAGAGGAGCUUGCUUCUCUCCUAGAGUGGCGGACUGGUGAGGAACACGUGGGUAAUCUACCCUUAAGAUGGGGAUAGCUGCUAGAAAUAGCAGAUAAUACCGAAUACACUCAAUAUUUCAUAAGAAGUAUUGAGGAAAGGAAGCUACGGCUUCGCUUGAGGAUGAGCUUGCGUCCCAUUAGCUAGUUGGUGAGGUAAAGGCCCACCAAGGCGACGAUGGGUAUCCGGCCUGAGAGGGUGAACGGACACAUUGGGACUGAGAUACGGCCCAGACUCCUACGGGAGGCAGCAGCUAAGAAUAUUCCGCAAUGGACGAAAGUCUGACGGAGCGACGCCGCGUGGAUGAAGAAGGCUGAAAAGUUGUAAAAUCCUUUUGUUGAUGAAGAAUAAGGGGAAGAGGGAAUGCUUCUCUGAUGACGGUAAUCGGCGAAUAAGCCCCGGCUAAUUACGUGCCAGCAGCCGCGGUAACACGUAAGGGGCGAGCGUUGUUCGGAAUUAUUGGGCGUAAAGGGCAUGUAGGCGGUUGUGUAAGCCUGGUGUGAAAUCCUGGGGCUUAACCCCAGAAUAGCAUUGGGUACUGCACAACUUGAAUUACGGAAGGGAAACUGGAAUUCCAAGUGUAGGGGUGGAAUCUGUAGAUAUUUGGAAGAACACCGGUGGCGAAGGCGGGUUUCUGGCCGAUAAUUGACGCUGAGAUGCGAAAGUGUGGGGAUCGAACAGGAUUAGAUACCCUGGUAGUCCACACCGUAAACGAUGUACACUAGGUGUUGGGGCAAGAGCUUCAGUGCCAAAGCAAACGCGAUAAGUGUACCGCCUGGGGAGUAUGCCCGCAAGGGUGAAACUCA
rnacentral:rRNA from 1 species